AACUGGGCCAGGCGUCCAUGCGCGUAAGCAGAUUUUAUAAUGUCCGGUCUUACGUGUAGAUUUUUGUGAGGUUUUGACACUGUCUCUCGUUACAUAGGCAUGCACACACGCAGUCCAUUGGGUCGAAGGUUAAUGGCGUGGAUAGAGGUUUGUAGGGGCCUUUCUCAAACGACCUUAUAAAUUUUGCUUCCUCCAUGUGCGCUCCACAUAUGCCAACUAUCUCUCACGUUCGGUGUUCCAUCCAGCCUCCCAGACAUAAUUCCGCUUUAGAGAUCCAAAUCCUCUAACUUUACCGGGUGAGACGAUUAAUUGUAAAGCAGAGGUGAAUAGUAAUUUAUGAGACAAUGAAUGGUAAAAUCAGGUGGAGUGAAGUCACAUGGCUUUGCGGUGACGUGAAGUCAGUGAUCUCGAUUCCGUAAUUCCCUAUGUAUUAUUCAGGGACGGAGCUUGGUGAUGAUCAAGGAAAGAGGACAGUGACCUCAGGCGUGGCUGCCGGCGGUGGGGUCGUAGUACCGGUGUGGACGCCCUGUGAUGGGGAUGCAGUCCCUCGCACAGUCAUCCUCCUCAUCCUUGGCAUCUUCCCCUUCUGCCUGCUCUUGCCACCCGCUCUUGUUUCUGAGAGUGGUUUAUGGCUCAAGUCCCGCUGCCGUUCAACGUUGACAGCCGCACACGAGGCCACUGUACUUCUCCCUAAAGAUAUACUGUUUCAGGACUGGGUUGGACAAAGACUCAAAGUAGUCAUUCCUAAUACAUACCACCAGCUAUGUGCGAAGGUGAUCGACCAGCUGGACCUUCUCCAAGUGCAUCUUCCACCCUUUGCAAGAUAAAUAAUUGGUGACUGGCCUCUUUGAAGCUUAAGAGACAUAUUCACAGGCAUUCAUAGAGAAAGAAUGGCAUACUUGACCCUGGAGGGAGAAAAUGGAGAUUCAGCCUUAGGAGUCAAAUCCCCAGGCAACAAUGAAGUCCCUAUAUGAACGAAGAAGAGAGAUGAGUUAUGAAGAUAUCAUUUUUUCACAUAUCUACUGACUACUGUCAUUCUUCUUUUCGUAAUUGUAGGGCAGUAGCCAGCAAGUACUCAGCAUUCCCACAAUUGGAAUCAUUACCAACAGAACAACUUUCAGCAGGAGCCUUAUUUGAUAUUUUUAAUUUGACUAUUAGCUCGUGCACAUGCUUAGCCAAAUUUGCUCUAAUUGAUCAACAAAAUGAUGCCAUCUCACAUAGACUGCUUCCAUGACCUGAAAAAAAGAACACAUGAUCACGACUCACCUUUUU